ACAUCAAAUCGUACCCCAAACCGACACAGGUGGUCAGGUAGAGAAUACCAAGGCGCUUGAGAGAACUCGGGUGAAGGAACUAGGCAAAAUGGUGCCGUAACUUCGGGAGAAGGCACGCUGACACGUAGGUGAAGUGAUUUACUCAUGGAGCUGAAGUCAGUCGAAGAUACCAGCUGGCUGCAACUGUUUAUUAAAAACACAGCACUGUGCAAACACGAAAGUGGACGUAUACGGUGUGACGCCUGCCCGGUGCCGGAAGGUUAAUUGAUGGGGUCAGCGCAAGCGAAGCUCCUGAUCGAAGCCCCGGUAAACGGCGGCCGUAACUAUAACGGUCCUAAGGUAGCGAAAUUCCUUGUCGGGUAAGUUCCGACCUGCACGAAUGGCGUAAUGAUGGCCAGGCUGUCUCCACCCGAGACUCAGUGAAAUUGAACUCGCUGUGAAGAUGCAGUGUACCCGCGGCAAGACGGAAAGACCCCGUGAACCUUUACUAUAGCUUGACACUGAACAUUGAGCCUUGAUGUGUAGGAUAGGUGGGAGGCUUUGAAGCGUGGACGCCAGUCUGCGUGGAGCCGACCUUGAAAUACCACCCUUUAAUGUUUGAUGUUCUAACGUGGACCCGUAAUCCGGGUUGCGGACAGUGUCUGGUGGGUAGUUUGACUGGGGCGGUCUCCUCCUAAAGAGUAACGGAGGAGCACGAAGGUUGGCUAAUCCUGGUCGGACAUCAGGAGGUUAGUGCAAUGGCAUAAGCCAGCUUGACUGCGAGCGUGACGGCGCGAGCAGGUGCGAAAGCAGGUCAUAGUGAUCCGGUGGUUCUGAAUGGAAGGGCCAUCGCUCAACGGAUAAAAGGUACUCCGGGGAUAACAGGCUGAUACCGCCCAAGAGUUCAUAUCGACGGCGGUGUUUGGCACCUCGAUGUCGGCUCAUCACAUCCUGGGGCUGAAGUAGGUCCCAAGGGUAUGGCUGUUCGCCAUUUAAAGUGGUACGCGAGCUGGGUUUAGAACGUCGUGAGACAGUUCGGUCCCUAUCUGCCGUGGGCGCUGGAGAACUGAGGGGGGCUGCUCCUAGUACGAGAGGACCGGAGUGGACGCAUCACUGGUGUUCGGGUUGUCAUGCCAAUGGCACUGCCCGGUAGCUAAAUGCGGAAGAGAUAAGUGCUGAAAGCAUCUAAGCACGAAACUUGCCCCGAGAUGAGUUCUCCCUGAGACUUAGAGUCUCCUGAAGGAACGUUGAAGACGACGACGUUGAUAGGCCGGGUGUGUAAGCGCAGCGAUGCGUUGAGCUAACCGGUACUAAUGAACCGUGAGGCUUAACCUUAC
rnacentral:rRNA from 1 species